UACGUGUGUCGGCGUCCCCUGAGGUUCAGCACAGAAAAACCGGAGCGCUAGUCCAGGCAACCGAAGAUUGCACUGAGCAUGCGUAAUCCGAGGAGCGCAGAGCCCCAGAGCCGGCCUGUGUGCUCUACGCGUGCGCAGAAAGACAGAACGCUCCGGCUCGCUAGCCUGACUGACCCGGGAAAGGCCCUCAACCCAGGUGUCUGGGGUCCGCGAUGCCAAGACCCUGCGAUUCCACCGCCCCCCCUUGUCGUACUUUUCCUUUACCAGCCUGCGUUGUCCUUUAAAGUGGUUGCCGAGUGUGUUCUCAACACACAGUAAUCCAACGGCGACUGAAGGAGUAGCGUGGUAGGCCAGUGGCGCAAGGGAUAACGUGUCUGACCACGCAUCAGAAGAUUGUAGGUCCAGCUCCUGCCUGGCUCGGCAUUAUUGUCACUUGAGGUUAACAAACCAGAAAUCAUUACCUCCUCUGGCGUCCCCAAACCGCGAAUGCCAGCAGUUUGGAUUUCUGCAGUGUCCGUUGCACUUUGAGCCCGGGAGGCCUUACCAGCGCCACCGGUCCAACUCCCGCGGGGUGAAGGGAAGGCCCCGAGGGUCUCGGAACGCCCCCGGCAGGCAAGCCGGGUUAGGAAGACGCCACUGAAGCCCGGGGUUCUGUAGACAGAGCUGGUUCCACCGCAUCUACUAAGACAUCAGAGUCACUAAGUUCCUAGAGAAAGUCCCCUCACCAACCCCCGGCCCAGCCACAGAACCUAAGAUGACAGAAGGAAGUAUUUCCUCCCCUACAGUUUGUGUAAAGAAAGUUUGUCCUCUUCUAGGUAGGUAACUCCACAAAUAUGGAAUGAAGAUUGACUGCAUUAUUCACCCAAAUGCAAUCCUGAAUUAUAUGCCAAAUCACUACAUCAAAAGAUAUUUAAUGAGACCAAGCCCCAGCCUACCUCCCCUUUGAAGGGGGUUAACAUUUGUACUACUGGGAGAUGGCAAGGCCAACCCAUCUCAUUCCCAGGGCUCUGUAAGUCCUGAAAGCUCACUUGCAGUCUUCCAUGCUCGGGGAAGUGGGAGCAUCAUCUUGCUCAUACAGCAUCUUUCCGAAAGGUAUGAUUGGUGGUGGUGGGAGGGUGUGGCCAGGAGGUUUUCUUCAGAGACUCACAUUUAUUCUUUUAUUUAAAUGUUUAUUUAGUCUGUACUAUGUGCUAGGCAUUGUUCUAGAGCUGAGGAUAAGGAUACAGCAGUAAGCAAAGCAGACAGAAAUCUCUAUCUUGGUGAAGCACACAUUCUGGAAGGGUAAAUAGACAAUAAGAAGACAAUAAAUAAUAUAUACAGUAGGCUGUACAGUAAUGAAUGCCAAAGAGAAAAAUAAAGCACAGUAGAGCAGGAGUGUGGCAGGUGUUGUGCUUCCUAUAAUGGCAAAAUGACACAGAUGACCGGAAGCAAAAUAAAUUGCUUAUGGUAUAUAGACAUCUAUGUAUAUAUACACACAUGCACACACCACACACAUAUAUUCAUACACAUAUAC
rnacentral:tRNA from 10 species